rnacentral:rRNA from 1 species
AGCUCCAGUAGCGUAUAUUAAAGUUGUUGCAGUUAAAAAGCUCGUAGUUGGAUUUCUGGUUGACCGAGUUGGCCCGGUUUCUUUUUGAAGCUGAGUGCUGAUUGUGCGUCUACCAUCCUUCCAGAAAACUGUUGCCUACCGCUUAACGCGGCCGGGCGGAGUGAUCUGGAUCUUUUACUUUGAAAAAAUUAGAGUGUUCCAAGCAGGCUUACGCUUUGAAUACAUUAGCAUGGAAUAAUAACAUAGGACUUCGGCCCUAUUUUGUUGGUUUCUAGGACUGAAGUAAUGAUUGACAGGGAUAGUUGGGGGUGCUAGUAUUCAGCGGCCAGAGGUGAAAUUCUUGGAUUCGCUGAAGACUAACUACUGCGAAAGCAUUCACCAAGGAUGUCUUCUUUA